AUUGAACGCUGGCGGCAGGCUUAACACAUGCAAGUCGAGCGGAGUGAUGGUGCUUGCACUAUCACUUAGCGGCGGACGGGUGAGUAAUGCUUAGGAAUCUGCCUAUUAGUGGGGGACAACAUCUCGAAAGGGAUGCUAAUACCGCAUACGUCCUACGGGAGAAAGCAGGGGAUCACUUGUGACCUUGCGCUAAUAGAUGAGCCUAAGUCGGAUUAGCUAGUUGGUGGGGCAAAGGGCUACCAAGGCGAGGAUGUGUGGCGGGGCUGAGAGGAUGCUCCGCCACACUGGGACUGAGAAACGGCCCAGACUCCUACGGGAGGCAGCAGUGGGGAAUAUUGGACAAUGGGGGGAACCCUGAUCCAGCCAUGCCGCGUGUGUGAAGAAGGCCUUAUGGUUGUAAAGCACUUUAAGCGAGGAGGAGGCUCUUUUGGUUAAUACCCAAGGUGAGUGGACGUUACUCGCAGAAUAAGCACCGGCUAACUCUGUGCCAGCAGCAGCCGCAG
rnacentral:rRNA from 1 species